rnacentral:rRNA from 1 species
UACGAAGGUGGCAAGCGUUGUUCGGAUUCACUGGGCGUACAGGGUGUGUAGGCGGUUUGGUAAGCCUUCUGUUAAAGCUUCGGGCCCAACCCGGAAAGCGCAGAGGGUACUGCCAGGCUAGAGGGUGGGAGAGGAGCGCGGAAUUCCCGGUGUAGCGGUGAAAUGCGUAGAUACUGGGAGGAACACCAGUGGCGAAGGCGGCUACCUGGACCGGUUCUGACGCUGAUGCGCGAAAGCGUGGGGAGCAAACAGG